CGGAACUAAGCCUCACUAUACUUUGUUCUUCGGAUGUGUUUUGGAUGUAAUAAGCCCUAAACUCUGUUUCUUAAUUUCCUCAGGCUGAUGUGAUAAGUGCAUGUACGGAGCUAACAUAAUCACUAGUGCAUAACAGGCCAUCAGAAAGCUGUUACCACUUAUUAAUUGCUGUUUUUUGAAAAAAAUCAAAUACAGCAACGUCUUGAAGUGACAAGAUCCUAUUUUAAGAUGAGAGCUAUUUUGGGAGCUUCCUGUAAAAAAGGAAGACAUUAAAGAGUCAUCGAGGAAGAUGUCAUUGAACAUAUGGGAUUUGAACAUGACUAUCCUUUGUGGUUUUGCUUCUCUGAUUGAAAGCCGUUGGAAGGAGAAGCAAAAAUGGAAGCAGGAAGAAAAAGAAGAGUAAGAGGAGAAGAAGGAAGGGAAAGAGGAGAAAGAGGUGGAGACCAACGAAGGUUUAAGAAGGCUGUGGAAAUUAAGCCUAGAGAUAUUUUAUGCAUUGUAGAAAUUCCAGUCAUGUGCAGCAGAAAAGGAUCUUGAUUCUUUGACAUCAUGCAGGAGGCCAGCUCUGCUUUGCCCACUUCUAGACUUUUAUAAGAGAGGCAUGGUGUGAUUCAUUCCUGGGAUAUGUUCAGUAUUUUCAAAAAGAGAUGUGGACCAGAAUAAUCUAGAAAAAUGACUGAGUACCUUGUACACGACCUAGUGACAUGGCACCUUCUGUGAACCAGAAAGUGGGCAUCGCCAGACACCAAAUCUGCCAACAUACUGAUCUUGGACUUUCCAGUCU